rnacentral:lncRNA from 1 species
AUCUACUUUUGAUGAUUCUGCCCAAGAUAAAAUGUAUGCAGAAAAUUGUUGCUCAAUGUCAGCCUUGCUAAUUCUGUCAAAAUAUAAUUCACAGCUUUGAAGAAUUUGUUACAGCUUUCCGAUAUUUCAAGGUUUAAAUUGUAAAACUAACACUAUAAAAUCUCUUGUUACAAAAAUGUCAACUAAUCCAAAACAAGAAGGCGUAUUAAAGUAAUACAGUUCCUACUAAGAAUGAUUCUCCAACUGCCAAAGACAGUACAAUGUUAUAAUUCCAUUCCUUGACCAAACUGUUCGAUUGUUUUUGUCGCGAGCGUAAUGUUGCGGACUGCCCAAGUUGCUAGCCCAAUUUGUCCACCAAGAGCCUAAGACAAGGCCAAGUGUGCUAGCUUGGCCCAAUUUCGAAAUAUUCUAAGCAACUCUAGCACAUUUGAGCUUGUAAAUACUUUAGAAUACUCCACACAUUUCUAGCUCAUGUAAAUAUCUAAAAUUCUAGGCAUGUGGUAGAAUUCUCUAGAAUCUCUAGAGCUUGGCAAGCCUCCCCUAUAAAUAGGACAUGGCAUUUAGCAUUUGAGCAACAAGCUUAAAGCAAGCAGCUCAAGCAUUCUUGUAAGCUCUCUUGUAAACAUUCUUUCGAGUAAUACAAUUUUCCUCAUUUGGCUCCAUUGCUCUCUUCUCUUUAGCUCUUCGAAAACCUCUAGGGUUAGCUAGUCGAAAAGCUCAAGGCUUACUUAGCAACAUUCGACAAAGUUAUCUAAGUGCCGCACGGGUUUGCUGCGCAAAACACUCAUCCUGUGACAGUAAGCACAUCUACAAAAGCAAAAAAUGAUGCACGAAGAAACUUGGCCUCAACUGCCUUAAAGUGCCUGAAUCAGAUGAGAAAAUAAACAAAAUGAAGAAACUUCUAAACUGCAAAGUCCAGGUAAAAUUGAUAUACUAAAGAAAAAUGGUAUUUUAGAGGAAGGACUCUCCUUAAGUAACAUAUUUGAAAAUUUGGCAGGAAAAGAGGAAAAAAUGAUUAUUAAAUAGGCCACACAAAAUUUCCAAAUGAAUAUUGUCUCAUAGGAUAAACUGAUAGAUGCAAAUUGAAUGAAUAUUGGACAAGAAUGAAAAACAGUUAUGUAAUGAGUCUUCCAACCAUGACUGAUCAAAGAAUAGAAACUUACACUAAAAGUUUCCCAUUAACAAUAGAUAUCUGCCUUUUCACUUUGUCUGGUUGCAACUGCAUUGGGAAAUUGAAUCCAAGUAAGAAUUUAUUGAAGAAGCAAUAAAGUUAAAGGAGCAAGGUAUGAUCUUAGGAUCAUGAUGCAUGCAUCACCUCCUUAUCAACAGCUAAUGCUGCAUACACAAUUGAUGCAUUCUCACUGGACUCGUAAUCCACUUCAAAGUCACUGCAUGGGAAAAACCAUUUUCUAAGAAACAACAAAACAUUUCUGGUACAGUUCCUCUAAAAAAACUUCUGAAAGGUGGACAAAGAGUACUACACCGUCAAGGGGAAAAAAAAUAGAUCAAUCGUAAACAACGGAGGAAUUACAGAUGCUCUAUUGUGUUCCUCAACAAACAAAACUGAGAACAAUUCACCUACUCAAGUUUCAAAUAUUAUAUUUACCUCAUUGCCAGUUUAUUCAAAAAUCUUUUAGAACAAUUCCAAUAUUCUAAUAAUAUUACCACUGACUUUACCCUUUGUUUUUUUAUGGUUCACACAACUUGUAACUAAAUUACAAAUUAGUUCACAUGCCCAGUAAAUUGCCCAAUCCAGAAUUUAACAAUAUGGGCCACCGCCCAUCCAUUAGAGUAAGCACCAUAACCGAAAAUUAGAAAAACUGUUACAAUCUUUCCAUUAUAAUUUUCUUUUAAUUAUUUACUUUAUAUUUUGACUUUAGUUGGUUUUUACUAAGUCAAAAUUAACAACCAACAACAUCUGAGCAAGAUGCAUGCAAGAUGGGUGAGCUAUACAUAAAAGUUCACUUUUAUUAUGAAGUAUAAAUCUAGGCAACAAAAUAAGAUAGCAGAUGCACUCAGUAGGCAAGCAACUUUACUGCUCUCGUCAUUGAAGUUACUGGUUUUGAAUGCUUGAAGGAGUUGUAUACGAAAGAUAAAGACUUUGCACAUAUUUAAGAUCAGUGCAUUAAUCACCAAAUGCAGAAGAUUUCCUUAUUCAAGAUGGGUAUCUGUUAAAAUCUAAUUAGUUAUAUAUGCCUCGAAGUUCUUAAGGGAACAAAUUGAUAGGUUGUGAUCAAUAUGUUUUCAAAGAUCGUGCAUUUUAUUACUAAGAGUACUAAAGAUGCUGCUUCAGUUGCGCAUUUGUUCUCCGAAGAAGUGGUAAGUUUGCAUGGUGUGCUAAAGACUAUUACUUCUAACAUGGAUGUGAAGUUUAUCAGCAAGUUUUGGCAUCAUCUCUAGGAUAAGUUCAGUACAGUAUAGUAGUGCUUUUCAUUCGCAAACAAAUAAUCAAAUGGAGGUGGUCAAUCGCACUUUGGUCAACAUGUUGCACUGUGUUUGUGGUGACAAGCAAUAGGACUGGGAAGCUAUCUUGACUCAAGUCAAGUUUGCUUGCAAUAACAUGGUGGUAAGACCCUUUUUGAGAUUGUCUACACUUGUUUUCCACGCCAUGUUUAUGAUCUGGCUAUCAUGCCCAUAGCAGCUGGAGGGAGUAAAAUAGUGAAUGAUGUGGUAGAAAGGGCUCUACAGAUUCAUGCCAAGGUACGAGCUCAUUUGGGGGCUAUAAACGCUAUGUACAAGGUCGAUGCGAACAGGCAUCGACACGUGAAAGUGAUGCAUGUCCACAUCAAGUAUGGAUUGUUUCGUGUGGCAGGGAAGAUUAAUAAUAAUGGUUAUGUGCUCCAGCUGCCGGGCAACUAGAAGAUCUCUUACACAUUCAAUAUGACUAAUCUAUUUAAAUAUCAUCUAGAUGAUGAGGCGUUGUGCGAGUCAAACUCGAGGGUGACUUCUUUUCCAAGUGAGAGGGACUAAUGUAUGAAGGGCGUGUGGGAUUAGAAGGGUGCAUUUUAAAGGGCAUAACUUGGACUACAUGUGUCCGUUUUGAGUGUAUAAUAUAUCGUUUCAAAACUUGCGAGAAAACAAAUCAAGCCUAUAAAGCUUAUGCCAUUUUGGGCCUUGCUUGAGCCUGAAAAUUUGUUUCUUUCCUCAUCAUUUUUUAUUUUUAAGAUAUUCUUCUAUUUUUUUCUUAUUUCUUCUAAAAUUUUUAUCUUUUUUUCCCCUAAAUAACAGAUUUGAGCACUGUUUGUUUUGGAUUUUUUAUUUAGAUUAGGAGAAUUUUAUUAUAUUUAAAGUUAUUAUAUAAAAAGAUCUAAAACUCUACAGGUUCCUUCUAUCAAUCAACUUUAAAUGUCUCCGCAUUGUCAUGUUAUCCUCUACACGUUCACAAGCAAUUUACAUUAAUUGGAUAUACAAUAGUCUUAAUUGGAAGGAAGAUAGAGGAGGUUUCCUUGCAAACACGUACAAUAAUAUCGGAAGGGAAAGAACCAUUAAUUAGAGGGGUCAUGGGUAUAAUAAUUAACGAUUCCAUAUUUCCAUCCCGUCUUGCCUUUAAUUUAAUUGGCCUAAUUUUCAAUUGUUAUUUGUACGGUGAGGAGGCAAGGGGGACAAUGGGCGGGACGUCAAUUCAUACCUCAUGAACAGAGCCAUUCCCUGUCCCACUACUUGACAAGCUUGCUGAAAUAUCUAUGGUAGAUAUUUUGUGGAUGUAUUUGUAAUUGGGCUUCUGUGAUAUGCCAAAGUAUUCCUUACAGGAAUUCAUACAAGUUGUUCGAUGAUAAAAGUUUUGGAUGGAAUUAUUUACAUUCCAAAUUUUACUCUGAACAAAUAGGGUUUAGGGUUUUACUUCUCAUUUCAUCUUCAGCAAAUCUAGUAAUUGGCAGGAAAUAAUUGGAAGAAAGAAGGCUGAAUAUAAUUUGAGUAAAACAAAGAAAAAAAAAGAAUCUAGAAUAAGAAGAGACAGGUUACCUCAAUCUUUUUCAGUUGGGCUUACAAAAUUCCUUCUUGCUAUUUUCGAAUGUAGGAAAGGCUGAGAGCUUUUUUGCCUUGAUCAACAUUUUCAACACAAUUGAUUCAAUUCACAUAUGAUCAAUAGGAAAAAUACUAAAAAAAAUAUAUUUUUACUUGUUCAUGAUUAAAUUAUUUAGUCAAUAAAGGUCAUUUAUGCACACCAAUCCUGACAUACAUGUUAAAAGGAAGACAAUUAUAGAAAGGCAUAUUUGUUCCCUGCUUUUUUUGUUUUUUUUUUUAACAAAGACUCUCUUUUCCUUUUCGACCUCCACAAGAGCAUCAUCUAAAAAAAAUUAACAUGAGACCACAAGUUAUUCACUUAGGAACAUUCGCAUAUUCAAUGCAAAUUGAAUCAUUUCACCCUGCUUAACAAAAGAUUUUGACAAACCAAUGCCAACUUUCAUUUGAAGCAUUAUCAGUCACCUAAAAAUGGCAAUGAUGCCUUUUUACAUAUUAAAAGCAAAAUUGAGUUUCAUUUUAGAAGACUUAGGAUUUAUAGUCAUAGUUUAAAGCAAGAACAAAAUUAAAAAGUCAUACAUUCCCAUCUUAGCAUCUCAUUACUCCACUUAGGAAUGCCACUGCUUCUUUUUUUAUAAAAAGGGCACAUGCAGCAUCUAAUCAAUGUUACAGAGCCGUUUUAGUGGUUAAAUCACAAAUAAAAACACAAUACAGCUUCAAUAAAACAAAUAAUUUAAAUCUUUUACACAAACAUCAUCCAAAAUUUCUUCAUUUUAUUUGUCACUAAUGCUUUUUUUAUCAAUCAACUAAAAAUUCUCCAUAUUAAGGAGCACAAGCAAUAUCUUUUUCAGCUUCUUCAAAGCAUCACAAACAAAGCCUUAUUUUCCAAUAUUAUUAAUGCAUAUAACUUCACUAAUUUCUAAUAUGCAUUGGUAUUUUUAGUUCAAGCACAUGUUAAGAAGUUAAUUCCUCAAAAUAGCAUCCAUAUUCUUCAUAACAGUGCUAACCCAUUUUCAUUUGACAAAGAAGUCACAUAAAAAUCACUAAUUUCCAACACAUAUGUUAUGAUUAGCUCUUAACUUGACAAAUCCAGAUAGCUAAGGUCUGAAAGUAACAAACAACAUGCAUCUUCUCUAAUACAUCAACAAAUUUAUAUCAUUUUUUUUUUAUGAACAACACAAUGCCAACCGUUCUCCAACACUUCAGCCCAUUUUCAUUUUCAAACAAUAAAAAAAACCCAAUCUAUGAUUAAAAUAAAAUAAAAUUUCAAUUUUAUUUUAAAACAUAAUAACUAUUAAACCAAAAAAAUUAAAUCCAAAAUUGUUUCAAAGACUAACCUUCUUUGAAUUCAAGUCAAUAACAGUCAUGUCCGACGCCGAAUAGUCAGCUAUUUUCACCUGACACCACCCUUAGGCCACCAUCGAUGCUUUUCUUGUUAAUAAAUCUAAGCUAAAGUUGCGGAACUUGGCAAUAAAAAUCUGAUUUUUUUCAUCUUCAAAGCAUUUAGAGAUGAGGAGUGCAUGUGGGCCUCGGUUGAUUGAAAGAGAAAAUGGUUUUGUGAUGAGUUAGGUUGAUGAAAGAGAGCAAGCAUUCAUCGGGAUUUUUUGAGUGUUUCAGUGGGCUUAUCUUCAAAUUAGCUUUUUACUUAUUUCAAUUUUAAAUUCGCUUUUACUAAUUUACCCUCCUAUCCAGACAAUAUACGAAACUGAGUAUAGACGGCAGGAAAGGUCUAUGGAAUUAGAGGCAUAUUUUCUAUCUAAAUAUUAAUACGUUAAACUUCUGGAGAGAUUUUAAAAUUAUAUAUUUUUUUAAAACUAAAUAAUUUAAAGUUUUUAUUUUAUACAUAAAAGUAACUAAAAUUUUAAAAACCUUUUCUCUAGUAUUUUUCAAUUGGACAAAUAUCUCAAUAAAUAAUUGUUGAAUAAAAUAAAUAAAUAAAAAAGUAUAAAAUAAAUUAUAAUCAUUAACUUAGUGGUCAAUAAAAACUAAACUCAGCAUUAAAUCCUAAUCUCCUUCAACUUUUUUUUUCCACCUCACUAUCAAGAAUCCUGCCGGGUAAUAACCUAGUCUUGAGUCUUGACUUUGAAUUAACACUGGCCCCCUCAAGUCUUCAAGUUGUAAUCCUGUACACAUUCGAAAACGAUUGGCAUUAAUUGGACACACGGAAGUCUUAACUCGACAUUAAUUGGAAGAAAGAUAGAGGAGGUUUCCUUGCAAAAUACGUACAAUAAUUUUGAAAGGGAAAGAGCCGUUUGUUUGGUAUAAUAAUCCACCAUUUCAUAACUUAAUACGAACGCUUUUAUUCAUGGGAAGACAUAUGCGUAAGAGACACCUAAUUCUAUAACUAUUAACACUUUCCGAGCUUUGUAAUAGUAUUUUAUUGUUUCUAAGGACUUCGUGAAAGAUUAAUUUUAGGAUAAGACACACCCAAUAGCUAAUUUUCUCUAUCAAUACAUUUUAGUGAAAUGAAACGACAAAUCAGAUCUCUUAAAUCUUGAAAUUGUUUUUGUUCAUUAAUUUAAAAUGAAGCUUCUUUUUUUCCAUAUAUCAUCCCCUCAUUUUUAGUAGUAACACUUUGUAACUGGGCUUUGGCAAUUCAGCAGAAAUUUUUCUCAGUUGUGUAUUAAAUUACUAAAUUAUCCUUACAUAUUAUUUAAUUUCAAUUUUAUCCACCUCAUUUUUUAACUUAAACUCAAAUCGAUUUUUCCAUAAAACAAACUCUAAACACCGUUCUUAUUAGCAUGAUUCCAACAUCGACAGUUCUCAUCGAUGCAGUUCCAGUAGUGGCAAUUCUCAUGGACGCGAUUUUGACACCAAUCAUAUUCAUACACCUCUGUUCUUCUAUCUUUCUUUUUAAAAUGUAAAGGCAGCAACAAACAAGUAACCAAUUCCUGUAGAUUCCAACAAUACAUGUUUUUGAACAAAUCAUUUCAGCUUCUCAUAAAUUUUAAAGGAUUCACUUAAAGGUAACUAAAGAAAAUUUAAACUAUUGAGAAAUAUUGUUUUAAUUUCUUUGAAACAGGGUAUGUAAUUAGAGGAACCCACAAGUUUAUUAAACUAACAACUCAUUUUGAAACAGGUUAUGUAAUGUUAGACAUAAUUCAUCCUUAGUUAAUGUUAUUUGUUUUAAAAUGAAAAUUGGGUAUUGCUCUUAAUUAAUCUCUUUCCUAUAUUGAUGUUUGAUGAAGAAAUAUUAUUCUAUUUUCUAGGUUUAAGUGUACGCAAUUAUGUCUUGUAGCUCAACUAGUAAGGCUACCUGGAACCCCCAGACUUCAGAUGUAUUUUGUGAGUUAUGUAUUAAGACAGUGGAUGUCGAACAUCGUCCUAGGACUCAUGUGACUUCCGAAGGAUAUGAAAAUUUAAUUAAGGAAUCCUCUAAAGAAACUAAAUUGGAUUAAAAUAGAAUUCAAAUGAAAAACAAAUGGGAUUCUCUUAGAACUUAUUGGAAAUUGUGGAAGAAUUUGAUUAGCUAGGAAACUGGUAUAGGGUGGAAUCAUAGGUUAUGGAUAGUUGAUGCAAGUGAAGACUAGUGGGAAAAGAAAUAAAGGAAAAUUUGUGAUUGAGUAGAUUUCAAAAAAAUGGUAUUGAUCCAAAGUUAGACAAAAACCUAAAUUUAAUGUUCAAACACAGUGGCUAUGAGUGAGAAUGUUUGGCUUCUCUCAUCCAGUUUUCUUUUAGAGAGUAAUGAGGCAUCUGAAUCUCUUAGUGUUGAGAGUACUGCUAACUCUAAUGAGUACUUUUGGGGUUUGAAAGAACACAUGGAAGAUGUUUUGAAAUAUGCCAAGCUAUAUGUUCAAGAAGCAGGUGAAGAUAGUUAUUACUACCAUGGCCUUACAUAAUUAUAUAAGAAGAUAUUCACAAAAUCAGGAUCAUUUUGAUGAAACAAUGCAUAGUAAUAGCGAACAUAUAUGCAAGAUUGCGUCUCCUAAAGAAAGUUAUGAUACAACUGAUAACAUAGCUCAAAAUAUAAUAAUCUUCGGAGAUGAUAUUGCUGCAAGUUUAAUGAAGGCAUGACAAUGGAAAUGUUUAUAAGAAUUUUGUAAUUAUUUACAUUUUAAUUUGAUAAUGUUAUGUUGUAUCAUCUUUAUUAGACAUAUUUGGUAUAAUUUAUUUCUUCAAUCAAUAUGUAAAAUUAGAAUUUAUUUAUUUUUAAUUUUUAAAUUAUUUUGUUUUAAAAAAUAUUUAUUACAGCUUGUGAAGAAAAAUAACUUUGAUUAAUUAAAUAUUAAUUUGAUUUGUAAAAGUAAUAAACAUAAUCAUAUGUUAAUAUGAUAAUUCAAAAUAUGAAAAAUAAUUUGACUAAUUAAUAAUUAAAAAUAAUGUUAUUUAAAAUUAAUUAUUACAAAUAUUCAUCAACUUCACUAUAUAGCUAUUAAAUUUUACCAAACAAUAUCAGCUUCUACUCUACAACUAUUAAAAUUUGCUAAACACCAGAAACUUCUAUCCCACAGCUAUGACUUUUGCUCCAUAACAGCUGCGUCUCAAUGCUGCACUUACUUGUCAGUAAUCGGAAUGAGCUAAAAUCAUAAUGAACUAAAAUGAGAAUGAGGAAUAGGAAUCAAAAUAAGUUGUUUACUUGACCUACAUGAAUGAGAAUAGGAAUGAGAUAGAAUCUCAUUGAUGUGUUUAUUUUAUCUUGGAAUUGGAAUCAAAAUAAGUUAGAUUGUAACAAAUUACUAAAAAGUACUUAAUGAAUUAUAGUCAUAAUCAUGAUUUUAUAUUUUAAUUAUAGUGAUUAUUUAUUCAAAAAUUGUUAUUAUUAAUAAUUAUUGUUAACAAUAUAUUAAUUAAUUAAUUAAUUAUAAAUGAAGACAAUAUAGGUAUUUUUAAUUUUGGAGGAGGGUAAGACAAUCAAUCCCAGAAAUGGGAGACUCAUUCCCACCUCUCCCUUAGGAAUGAGUCUCCCAUUUUUCAUUUCUAAAUUGUGGUGGGCCUCACAAUUUUGAUUCUGAUUUUGAUUUUGAUUCUUGAAUUUAUUUUAUAAAAUAAACGUUGUCAAUUAUUCUGAUUCCCUAAUCUGGGAAGUAAACGCAACAUAAAAAUUAUAGCACUUCACUUUCAAACACACCCUAUAUAUUGUCAGCAAAAUCAAUCGAGGCAAAGGUGCUAUUAACAAUGCAAUGGCACGAAGUGAUGGUUCACCAAUAGUACACGAAAAACACAGAAUGGGGUAAUGUAAGCGUAUGAAUUUGGAACGAACUGGACUCAUUGUUUGUGUCAAAUAAGUUCCGCGUUGGAUGUCAUGCCAGCAUCUCCUGUUCCACUUGUAUGCCGAUUCAGAUGCUGAGAUGCCUCACUCUGUUAGCUUCAAAGUUCUAGUGCAGGGUCCUCUGUUUCUUCAAGAACAGGGCCCCUAAAUAUUGGUAGCAUUAGAAGCUUGCUUCUUAGAUAUUUAAAUAUGUUUGCCACAGAUGCUUUGUUGCAUUCUACCUUAUAAACUUAUUUCUCCGCUUACAAAAACUGAACAUCAAACUCUGUAUAUUUUAUUCUAGAGAUGAAAAAUUUUGACCAUAAGGGAAGCAUAAGGCAAAAAUCCACAACUUAAUUUAUUUAUGAAAUGAAAUACUUAGAUUUUAAAGGAAUAUCCUUCCCUUUAAUCACCACUUGUUUGAAAGCAAAGGGCUAGCAUCUACAGAAAAAGCAACAGCAUUUAAAAUUGCUCCAGUUGAAGAUGAACCAGUUUCAAAAUUGCCACCCACAAGAUCAAUGUCUUCACACUUUUGAGCUCUAAUCCCCCCUAAUUCAAAUGCGACUUCUUUCAUAGUAGGUCUCUUCGUCCCAUUCAAAUUCAAGCAUCUUUUUGCAAGCAUGCCAACGGUAAUAAUCUCUUCUUCCUUGGCUUCCCUAAGAACUUGAGUAUCAAGCACAUCAAACAAACGGUUCUCUUUCAUUGCUAGGAGAAAAUACCCUGCUAAACUUUUAUCCUCUUCAGCGUCGGUUGAACGAAUAGGUUUUUGUCCAGUUAAAAGCUCAACAAGGACAACCCCAAAACUAUAAACAUCACUUUUCUCUGUAAAUUGACUUGACCGAAAGUACUCUGGAUCUAGAUAUCCAAAAGUUCCUAGUACUCGUGUGGUCAAAUGAGUUUGAUCAAUCGUUACACAUCUAGAAGCCCCAAAAUCGGAAACUUUUGCUCGAAAUUUAUCAUCCAAUAGUAUAUUUGCAGACUUGAUGUCUCGAUGAUAAAUUGGAAUAGAAGUAGUUGAAUGCAAAUAGGAUAGAGCACUUGAAACUUCUACAGCAAUGCGUAAACGCAUUUCCCAUGUGAUUGAGAACUCCUCAGUUUUUUCAUGUAUAUAUUGAUAGAGAGUUCCAUUUGGAAUAAAUUCAUACACCAAAAGAGGAACCUCUGUCUCCAAGCAGCAUCCGAACAAUUUAACAACAUUUCUGUGGUUAAUUUGAGUUAAAAUUACCACCUCAUUGAUGAAUUGCUCAAUAUUACUCUCAUCCACUAAUUUGGAUUUUUUCACAGCCGCAAUUCUUCCAUCUGUCAACAUUCCUUUGUACACUGUGCCUUGGCCUCCUUGACCAAGGAUUCGAUUGGUAUUGAAGUUGUCAGUAGCCAUUUCCAAUUCCAUUGAAGUAAACAAUUUUGUUUUCUCGGUAUUACCUUCAUUUGAUGACGAUUGUUGUUGCAACAAUAAACCACCGUUUCUUUUAAAGAACUUCUGCUUAAGCUUGAUUUCUCUUCUUCUUUUAAUGAACUUGUACAACCACCAUGUUCCGAUCAGUAGGAACAACAUUCCAAGCCCACUAUUGCAACCUGCAACGCUCCAGGACAAGAAUAUUUAAUACGCGUUCGAGGGGAUUUAUGGCAAGGAACUGUUUAGAAUAGGAGAUCAUAAAUGUAUAAGCUAUUGCAAAUUUCAGGUGCAGAAGUUUUUGCGUUUGUUAGCCUAUAUAUACGGUAAUUAACAAAAAAAAAGAACAGUUAAUUCUGUCGACGAAAUCUGCAAUUCCAAAAUAUACCUAUAAUAAUGAAUUUGACAUGAGAAUUUUUGUGCAAAAUUGGAUUAGGUUCAUAUGAACUUGUGCAGCCACCGAGGUAGUUAUCUAAAAAGUAACCUUUGGGAAAUCCUGAUGAGCAAUUGUAGGGGCUUGUGAUAUUACAGAGCAAGCGACCUGAACCAACCCAAAAGAUGAAAUAGAAUAUCAAAAUAAAUUACGGCUAUUUAUAGAUAUCUUGCCUUCUUUACAUAUGCGAAUUCUGCAAUUACUUUCACUAAUUUUGUGUUAGAUACGUAGUUGGUUCAAGGAAAUGCAGUAUACACUUCAUAUAUGAAAUUAAUUUAAUUAGUAUUCGAAAUUGUACCUGAGCAAUAUCCAUGGUGGUGUCAGUCAAAGCUUGUUUCCCUAAAGCAACGGCAAAGGUAGCCUGAGCUUAAUUGUACUAAACAUCUAUUGUCCUUGUUACAAGUAGUUUUCGAAUUAUAUUCUUCAUAACAAUCUCCUCUACGCGUAGCCCACUCCAACAGUGCAGGAACUUGUCCGUGAUCUUUCAAAACGUGAGGAUUCUUCAGGUACUUUGAGUUGAUCCAAUCUUCUUCAACCAUGGAAACAGAGUGGCACUUCUGAGGAAUUCUUUUAGAAUAAAAAUUAGAUAUUUGUGCAUUGGAAACCUGAGUAAUAUUUUGAGGAAGAGUGCAUAGGAAAUCGUAGCAACCAGGGUUAAGAGCAGGAUCACAAGUGCUAAUCGAAAGGCACCCACCAAAAACGGAUGAAUCAUUGUGUCGCUUAAUAAUCGUAGAAUAGUUGUUGCAACCUAUGGCAGUGAAUCUAUUGCGCGACCGGGAAAAUGUAAAAGGGCUACCUGAUAGACUGACCCCUUUAUCAUUGCUUGUCAGGUUACUGCUCUUCAAAGAAAUUACAGGAAUGUAUACCCUAAUGGGCCUAAUCAUGUAUACAUAAAAAGUUUCAUGUAUAUAUUGAUAGAGAGUUCCAUUUGGAAUAAAUUCAUACACCAAAAGAGGAACCUCUGUCUCCAAGCAGCAUCCGAACAAUUUAACAACAUUUCUGUGGUUAAUUUGAGUUAAAAUUACCACCUCAUUGAUGAAUUGCUCAAUAUUACUCUCAUCCACUAAUUUGGAUUUUUUCACAGCCGCAAUUCUUCCAUCUGUCAACAUUCCUUUGUACACUGUGCCUUGGCCUCCUUGACCAAGGAUUCGAUUGGUAUUGAAGUUGUCAGUAGCCAUUUCCAAUUCCAUUGAAGUAAACAAUUUUGUUUUCUCGGUAUUACCUUCAUUUGAUGACGAUUGUUGUUGCAACAAUAAACCACCGUUUCUUUUAAAGAACUUCUGCUUAAGCUUGAUUUCUCUUCUUCUUUUAAUGAACUUGUACAACCACCAUGUUCCGAUCAGUAGGAACAACAUUCCAAGCCCACUAUUGCAACCUGCAACGCUCCAGGACAAGAAUAUUUAAUACGCGUUCGAGGGGAUUUAUGGCAAGGAACUGUUUAGAAUAGGAGAUCAUAAAUGUAUAAGCUAUUGCAAAUUUCAGGUGCAGAAGUUUUUGCGUUUGUUAGCCUAUAUAUACGGUAAUUAACAAAAAAAAAGAACAGUUAAUUCUGUCGACGAAAUCUGCAAUUCCAAAAUAUACCUAUAAUAAUGAAUUUGACAUGAGAAUUUUUGUGCAAAAUUGGAUUAGGUUCAUAUGAACUUGUGCAGCCACCGAGGUAGUUAUCUAAAAAGUAACCUUUGGGAAAUCCUGAUGAGCAAUUGUAGGGGCUUGUGAUAUUACAGAGCAAGCGACCUGAACCAACCCAAAAGAUGAAAUAGAAUAUCAAAAUAAAUUACGGCUAUUUAUAGAUAUCUUGCCUUCUUUACAUAUGCGAAUUCUGCAAUUACUUUCACUAAUUUUGUGUUAGAUACGUAGUUGGUUCAAGGAAAUGCAGUAUACACUUCAUAUAUGAAAUUAAUUUAAUUAGUAUUCGAAAUUGUACCUGAGCAAUAUCCAUGGUGGUGUCAGUCAAAGCUUGUUUCCCUAAAGCAACGGCAAAGGUAGCCUGAGCUUAAUUGUACUAAACAUCUAUUGUCCUUGUUACAAGUAGUUUUCGAAUUAUAUUCUUCAUAACAAUCUCCUCUACGCGUAGCCCACUCCAACAGUGCAGGAACUUGUCCGUGAUCUUUCAAAACGUGAGGAUUCUUCAGGUACUUUGAGUUGAUCCAAUCUUCUUCAACCAUGGAAACAGAGUGGCACUUCUGAGGAAUUCUUUUAGAAUAAAAAUUAGAUAUUUGUGCAUUGGAAACCUGAGUAAUAUUUUGAGGAAGAGUGCAUAGGAAAUCGUAGCAACCAGGGUUAAGAGCAGGAUCACAAGUGCUAAUCGAAAGGCACCCACCAAAAACGGAUGAAUCAUUGUGUCGCUUAAUAAUCGUAGAAUAGUUGUUGCAACCUAUGGCAGUGAAUCUAUUGCGCGACCGGGAAAAUGUAAAAGGGCUACCUGAUAGACUGACCCCUUUAUCAUUGCUUGUCAGGUUACUGCUCUUCAAAGAAAUUACAGGAAUGUAUACCCUAAUGGGCCUAAUCAUGUAUACAUAAAAAGAAGUAUAUGAAUCAUAAACAGUAUAAACAUGACCGUCCAAUACUUGCAGGUUGUUGAUGUUGGCAAGAAAAGCUUUUGGGGAGCCAGAGGAGUAAUCGCAGAUUACUUCAAAACUCUUAUCAAAGUAGCAACCGUCUCCGAUUCCGAAGGGGUAACUGAUAGUGACAUUGCCACAAUCAUAUUGGCAUAAAUCUUUUGAUGCUUUGAUUGGCCAUACUAGCAAAAUCAUCAAUUGCAGCAACACCAGAUAAUGAUGAACAACCAUUCUCAAUAUUUUUACUCGGAAAAAUGAAGAUUUAACAGAGCAAUUGCAUGCGUUGAUCUUUAAUUAAAUCCCUUCUAGCUUCCUUUUAGCUUUUAUCCCAAUACCAAGAAAGUCGUGCAAGUCAACUUGUUCUUCUUUUUGUAAACUUGUACAACCACCAUAUUCCAAUGAGUAGAAAGAAUAACGCAAGCCCACCACCGCAACCUGCGGCUCUCGAGGACAAUAAUGAAAGAUAUAAUGAUAGGAAAGAUAUCAUCAAACUAAAUGAACGUAUGAACACUUAGUAUUUUCAUUUGAAAUAUAUGUUGAAAAAUAUUAUUAAUUUAUUAUGAUGUAAAAUAAACGAUCGACAUGCAUACCUAUAAUAAUGAAUUUAACCCGAGAUUUGUUAGAUCUGUUAGAUUUGUUGAAAAAUUUAAUGCAACGAUACGAGAGACGAUUAUAACCGUCGGGACAAUUGGAGCAAUUGUAGCCGCUUGAGAUAUUACAGAUCAAGUCACCUGCCCGGAAAAUAACAAAUAAAAAUAAAUCAAAGGGAAGAUCAAACUAAAUCAUGGCUACAACUAAAUCAAACUCCACCAUUUUCGUCUCUAAUUUUCUGUUUACAUAGACAGUUAAAGUAAUUGGAAGACUUUACUCAUUUGCAAGUAAUCCAAUGGAUAUUUUAAAAAUCAAUAAUUUCAAUCAUCUAUUGGAUGAUAAAUUUUACAACUCUUUUCUGAUUAUCUUACCAUCCAAUGGAGGAAUGUUACAUCAUUUGACAUUUAACUCUUGCUAGUAAAGUCUAGGGUUCCCCAAUAGCAUUUUCCGUUUCUCAUUCACACUUAUUGUUGCUAAUGUUUAUACGGAAAUAGCAUCUAUUCAUAAUGCUCCUGGAGCACCAAGAAUUUUCCCUUUUCUUCUUGUCGUUCGGAUAUUUUCUUUGAAAAAAAUAAAAUUACUCUUUAACACAUAAUCCAAUAUGUACCUGAGCAGUAUCCUUUCUCUAGGUCGUAGCCAGAAGAGCAAAGACAUAAAUGGUCUGAGCUUAAUUGCUUUAAACAAUCUAUUUUAUUCAAAUUACAAAAAGUAGAAUAUGAGUUAUAUUCUUCAAAACAACUGCCUUUCUUUUCUCCCCACUUCAACACUGCCGGAACUUCUUGUUGAUCUUUCAAAUCAUGAGGAUCUUCAAGGUACUUGCUGUUGACCCAAUGUUCAUCAACCAGGAAAACAGACUGACAUUUCUGAGGAAUACUUUGAGAAAACAAGUAUGAUGUAUUUACAUUGAACAGAUGAGUAAUAUUUCGAGGAAGGGCGAAUAGGAAAUCAUAGCAAGCAGGGUAGAGAGUAGGAUCACAAGUACAAAUCGACAGACACCCAUCAAACACAGAUGAACUGUUCCCUUGGUGAUAUAUAUCUCAUGUUGCAGCCUAUGGCAGCGAAUUUAUUAUCAGGCGAAAAGGCGAAAGGGGUACCUGAUAAGUUGACGCCUUUAGCAAUAUUGCUUGUUCGCUUACUACUGCUGUUUAAAGAAAUUGUAGGAACGUUGACGCUAACCGCGAACUUUGAAUAAGAGAAAAUAUCCAAUAAUUCUAGCCUGUUGACGCCAGGAAGAAAAGCUUUGUGAGAGCCAGAAGAGUGAUCGCAGAUAACUUCGUAACCCUUGUCAAAGUAGCACCCUUUUCCGAUUCCGAAGGGGUAGCUGAUGCUGAUAUUUCCACAUUCAGUUGGACAGGGGAAUCUUUCUGAUGCUUUGAUCGGCCUGAGGUGCAAAACAAUAAUCUGCAACAACACCAGAGAAAGAUGCGCAGCCAUUCGCCGCUCAAACUCAGUUUUCUUUAGUUCAGAAAGUGCAUGUAUUAGCUCCUACAUUAAUUCAGAAACUUUUCUCACCGACUAGAAAGUCCUUCAUGUUAAAGCCAGAGAUUAAUUUCAGAUUGCCAAUCUUGACUUUAAUUACUCUGGGCCCUCUCAAGUCUUCUCCAAAGUCCAAAGACCAUUCUCACAUUCUGUCACAUCGACAAGACGAUGAGACAUCUUCAAUUGAAUAAAUUUCAGAGUCAUGUAUGUGUAUGUAUCAUAUCACCAUUCUUCAAAUUUAAUUUAAAAUUAAUUUCAACAGAUUUUUUUCCUUCAUCUCAUAUGCCGAUUGGUGAAAUGAUAUUGGAUUCAGUUAAGUUCAGAAUAUAAUAUUUCAUCAUUAUAUAAUAUAAUUAAGUUAUGAAACGAAGCCAUAGUUUUAUUGGAAUAAAAUAUGGAUUGAGUAGCUUCAUUUGGAUGAAACAAAAUGUACCUUUAAAAUAUUUUUUUUUAAUCUUUGGUAAAUGUUCCUUUGGUCUCUAAGAUUUGAUUGAAUUACACAAUUAGUCAUUAUAUUUUUAAAAUUAUCUAUGAUCUAAAGUAUAUAACAAAAAUUAACUAUGGCUUAAAAAAUAACAAAAAUUAACUCCGCUGCCAAGAUUUGAAACCUAGAUUUUUUAAGCUAGAAAUAGGGAUGGCAAUGUGGUGGAGUGGGGGUGGGGAGGUCUACCCCGUUCCCCCACCCCAUUAAAAUUUUUUGUCUCCAUUCCCCUCUCCAUUCUCCUAUAAAUUUAGUGGGGUGGGGAUGGGGAAUCUCCAUAUGGGAAAUUAUUUCCCCAUCCCCAUCGUAUUCCCCAUUUACCUAUUUUAUAGUAAGUAUAGAUACCUGAUUUCGGUAAAUUAAUUAUUAGAGACUUAAAAUAAAAUCAUCACCAUAUUAUAAAGUAUUUAAAUUAUUUUUAAAAAAUCUCUAAAAGUUUGAAACAAUAUUUUAAAAUGAUAUCAAAACUGAAAAAUGUUCUAAGAGAGCAGCACAUUCAAAGAGAAAAUAAAACAUAAUAAUAUUUUAGAGUUAAAAAAGAAUUAAAUUGUAGGGUUUUCUUUUAUUCAUAUCUUGUUUAUAUUACAUUAAAAUAAAAAAAUUUAUUAAUUGGCAUUAUAGUUGAUAAAAUAAAAAUUAUUAAAUAAAAAUUAAAAAUCUGCUGUACGGCCAAGGCGGAUGUACGGUACAGCAGAGUUCGAAUAUAUACACAGGCAAUGUUUGNNNNNNNNNNNNNNNNNNNNNNNNNNNNNNNNNNNNNNNNNNNNNNNNNNNNNNNNNNNNNNNNNNNNNNNNNNNNNNNNNGGGUGGGGUGGGGAGUACAAACUAAACCCCACCCCAUUACAAAUUUGAGGAUUAUUUUUUCACCACUCCCCACCCCAUUCCCCAAAACUUAUUCAAAAUUUUCUCCAUUUGGAAUGGAGCUCCAUGGGGCUCCAAAUCCGUGGAGGAUUUUGUCAUCCCUAACUAGAAAGGUUGCAAAUUUGCUCAUGUGCUAUAGAGGAGGAUUUUGUAAUGAUACUUAAAGUAGAUUAUAUUUAUAUAACAAAUUCAAAAUUUGAGUUUUUGGAAGUUUCAAUCGGUUCAAAAAUUAAUUUUGUCUAAAAUCUGAUAAUAAAUAUUCAUUAUAUAUCUUUUAGGUCAUUGGUCAGUUUUGUUUAAUUCUCCAUAGUCCUCAAUAAGUGAGAAAAAAGAGGUAAUAGUUUAUUUCCAAUAACAUUGCUGACCUACAUAAAAAUGAAAAUAAAAUGGGCCAUUGGGGGGUAAUCCCCAACGUGAUAAGGAAAAAAAAUAAAACAAGUUUAUGAAAUAAUUAAAGUUUUAUAGACAUUAUACCAGCAUCUGUCAACCCUUUUUUCCCCUCAUGACAGUUGACAGUAAUUGGAUGCACAAAAGUCUUAAUUGCAAGAAAGAUAGAAGAGGUUUCCUUGCAAAUACGUACAAUAAUAUUGAAAGGGAAAGAACCAUUUGCAAAUUAGAUGGGUCAUAGCUAUAAUUGUUAACGAUUCCAUAUUUCCAUUCCGUCUUAUCUUUAAUCUAAAUGGCCUAAUUUCAAUUUUUAUUGUAGGCAAGGGACACCAGACAGGUCGUCAAUUGGCAUGUUUGGUUUGAAGAAAUAUGAGGAGAGGAAAGGAGAGAGGAAAGAAAUAGGAAAAAAAGAUGAAUUCCAUGUCCAACAAAACAAUGCAAAUGAAUUUGACCCUCGUUUACACUCAUUUUUUCCCUCAUUCUUUCCUUUCUAUUCCUCUCCUCUCCUACCAUUUCUCCCAACCAAACAUGGGCUUAAGGAAUGGAGCCAUUCCCUGCCUCACUAGCUUGUUGAGGUAUCUUUGGUAGAUAUUUUGCGGAUGUAUUUGUUAUAGGGCUUCUCUGAUAUACCAGAAGGGGUCUGAAAAGAUAAUUAUAUGGUGCUGCUAGUGCUGCUCAUUUGAUAAAACUAACAAAAGUAGAGUGCGGGGCCGGGACAAAGUUUAUGAAAGUGUGGCCUGGGUAACGAAAUAAGUGAAAAUAAAAAGAAAAAGUGAGACAAACGACACAGGUGUGGGUAAAUAAAUUUAUAAAAAAAAAAAAAUUCCUGCAAGCUAAUAAAAUGGGCCAUUGGGGUGUGGGCGGGUAAUUCCAACGUGAUGAUGAAUACCUCAACUUCCAAUAGUAUAUUAUCCUCAAUGCCAGCUUAUUCAAAAAUCUUUCAGAACUAUCCAACAUUCUGAUAAUAGUACCACUGACUUUAUUUUUUUAUGGUUCACACAACUUAUAACUAAAUUACAAAUUAGUUCACGUGUCCAGUAAACUACCCGAUCCACAAUUUAACAAUAUGUGCGACGGCCCAUUGAUUAAAGUAGACAAAGAAGACUUAUUCGUUGAUGAGAUGGAGUUUUGGUGACGGCAUCCGCUAAUUGGUCUUGAGAUGAUACAUGAGACACCCGGAGAACACCAUUUUGAAUUUUGUGAUGAACAAAGUGAAAGUCAAUGGCUAUGUGUUUCAUGCGACAGUAAUAUACAGGAUAAUUGGUGCCUAGCUACAUUAUGGCGACAGAUGAAAGUUUAUUUACCCACAAAGAUAAUCUCAUGCACACCAGCAUGAGAUUAGAUACAUAAAGAAGAAUCUGAUAGUGAAGUGAAAAAUCCCCGUCGAUAGAAAAAAAGUUUCGAAGCUCAGUGUUGUUCCAAGAACGUGAGCUUGCUUAAGGCCAGAGAGUGCCUUUUUAAGUUAGCAACCAUAAGUAGGAUACGUGGGAUCAAUAAAACCAGGUAGCUGAGGCAUAAAUACCUCCUUUGAUAGGUGCCCAUGUAAAAAAGCAUUGCUCACAUCAAGUUGUCGCAAAUACCAUCCUUGCAGUAAUGCCAAACACAAAGCAAACCGGAGCAAGCUUAAUUACAAGGCUGAAUGUUUCAUCAUAAUCAAUCACUUUUAAGAAAAGGGCAGCAGAGCUUGCUGUUCUCUGAUAGUCUCAAGGUACUACUGUUUCUAUAUUUUGUUUUAAUCUGUUGGACUAUAUGCCUGUACCAGUUUCCCUAUUACAAUUGUUUUAGAGCGUGCAAUCUUUGUUUUAUGCUACUAAUAGCUAUUACUAAAAGUUGCACCCACCUCAGCAUUCACUUUUAAGAAAAAGAAAAAGAAAAAAAAAUGAUUGUGGCAAAUAGGGGCAUAUGUCUUCAAGGCCAAUUCUUGUUUAAUCGUGUGAUACUUGUUUACAUGAUUUAAACCGUGGAUCGUGUGUCCAAGAUUGAUUUCACUGCAUUAAAAUAGUCAGAUUCAAGUUAGUGGUGGUUGCAGUCCAGAAUCAACUGCCAUUUUGAUGCCAUCAAGAAUUGCCAAAGCAUUCAACAUUUUUUCUAAGCAAGUUUUCCUAGAGAUGGAAGCAGCCGUGACACCUCAUUUGAAUUUCUUAUAAUACAAGUCGAAUCUGCUUUUAUUCUAAAUUUAAAGAUGCAUCGACUUUUGGUGAUUCUGCCCAAGAUAAAGUGUAUGCAGAAAAUUGUUGCUCAAUGUCAGCGUUGCUAAGUCUGUAAUCUUUCAUCUUAGCAAUGCUAUAAAAGGGCAUUUUUUUUUUUUUGCUUUGAGGCUUCAGGCAGAGGGAUUGCAGCAUCAAUUUCCAAUUUUUUUCGAGCAUAUUUAUAGCCACAAGCACAUGAUAAGCACCCUCCCGAGAAUUCCAGCAUGUGAAACAGUGCUGUCUACGAUUUUAUCUUUUCUGGGUUCCUUUUGGGUGACAAGAAAUCCCUUGACGCUUGCUAUAGAAAAAUCUUGAUUUUCGAACUUAUAGAGAGACGCCAGAUAGGAUUCCACCAGCUAGAUGAAUUCUAAAAGCUUGAAGGCUAUCGAGGCACGUUAAGCUGAGGGCCACUUGGUAGCCAAGUAGGUACCUCCUGCGUCACACAAUGGUAAAGAAUUGCAUCAAUGGCUGGAAGAAUAUUAGCACUAAUGAAUUCUUCAUUCUACUCACUUUACGAAAUCAAUAUCAGAUUGAACUGUUUGAGGGGUAAACAGAAAAGCCCUAGAAGUGAGGUCUGGCAAUCUAGUUAGGCCCAAACUGAAAGAGUUGGAGAUAGCUUGCCAAUAACUUUAUUGAAAAGGUCUAAGGGAGGAUUAUAACAUUUACAGCCUGGCAAUCUAGUUAGGCACAUCUACAAAAGCAGAAAAUGAUGCACGAAGAAACCUGGCCUCAACUGCCUCAAAGUGCCUGAAUCAGAU